CACACACACACACACACACACACACACACACACACACCUGCGGCAUCGCCGCCUUUAUGUGCCUGUCUGCACGGAAACCGAUGAAGUCAUCACAUGCUAGGCUACACUACGCCGUGCUGUGGGAACAACAAACACUGUCUUUGACCGGCUAAAAUGUAACAUUUACACAGCAACCCACUUCUGACUUCAUGUUAUUUAUUUACUUUGGUGUAAAAGUGUCCCUCCUCCUCCUGGCUAUGUUACUUCCUGUUGCGUCCACAGGGGGGAAGUCAAGAUGGACCACACCUUUCCACAUUCCUCCAUUAUUUGGUGAACACACACACACACACACACACGCACACGCACACGCACACGCACACGCACACGCACACACACACGCUUCCAUCCUAGAAACUGAGCAAAACAAUCAAAAAUCCUGAAAGUAGAAGUGAAAGCUGCCAAAUGAAGUUCAGACCACUAAUGAAAAAAAUUACAAGCGACGCAGUCUACUGACACAAAGCCAUAACAGACUGCCGGACCACCCAGCAAAAGAAAGGGGGGAAAAAAAAGAGCUCACGAGAGUAAAAGGGGAGAACCUAAAGCAGGAAGACGACACGGGUGGGCAAGAACAGUAAACAUCAAGACCACACUAAGGAAGUCGGUCACCUUAAUGCAGCCAUUCACAGUGAGUGUGCUGCGGGAAGCCAGACAAUCUCACUUAAAUGUUCCAAACUCGGGCUUCAGCUGUUGAAGAUUUUUAAAAUUGAGUAUUCCGGCGUUUAUCCUGUUGAUUAAUCGGAUAAAAAUGGAUUUUCCACGGUUAAAAAAAAAAAAAAAAAAAAAACUUGCAGGUGAGUUGCCACUAAUAGUUUAGUUUUCCUGUGGCAUCUGUGAUUUGGAAGUUUGUAUGGCUUUAAAAGGUGAGUGAUGUGGGUGUCAGCGAACGACGGUGCAGAGCUAACUGACUACGAACAAUGUUAUCUUUGGUCCUCCAUCUCGGCCAGUGGCGUGUAGCGGCAGGCAGACCAAUUCAGCGAUGGACCACUAGAUGGUAGAAGGUUCAUCGUGUGGACUGGUGCGCCUUGAGAUCAUUGCCAAGUAAAAACAUUUGCCCUUGUGCAAGACUGCCUUAUGAGGAGACUAAAAUGGCGAGCGAGUCACGUCUGACGCAAGCGCCAUCAUUCACGAGAUCAAAGGCACAUUAUAAUAAAGCAACUUGGGACGGACAGAGCGUUCCUGAACAUCUCAACAUGGCAGACCGUUUGAGUGUCUCUUCUGGAAAACGUCUGACAGGCAGACGCGCUGAUCUGAUCAAAUCACAAAGAUGUUCAAAGUACUCCCUUUGAUUGCCGGUGACGACGACGGCGCUAAUGUCAGUCAUCCAGCAGCGGGAAAAACCCCCCUUGAACACGCAGCCACAAGUUAACCAAAACACCAGCUGACGGAUGCUCCCGAAACUGCAGUAGCACCACCACCAUCAUCAUCAUCAUCAUCAACGGAUGACAGACAGCACCCUGGGCAAUUUGUCGGGCAUGCCGAGGUGCCAAAUGACACGUUCCUAUGCGUAGCGGGCUGCGUUGGCGGACGACGAAGACGUGAAAAGACGCAGUCACUGAUAAGAGCACUGCCAGAUGGAAAAACAGACAACGGAAGAAUGAGGUGGAAGGUUCUGGGCCGUGAUGAUUGAAAAGGGGGCGGGGGAGAAAAAAAAAAAAGAGGAUGCAAUACAAAGAUGGGGCAAUAUGUCCAUGGCGCAAGCACGCCGCCACGCUGUCUGGCAAUCGCCCUUGCAGACGAAAUGCGUGAAACACGCACUUGGACCCGCAGAGGAGAUGCGCAGAUAACAAAUGAUCUCACACAAAGCCGCUUGCUUUUAUGUCCCCAAAUACCAGCAGAAAAAAAAAAAAAA